AGCGUACGCUGGCGGCAGGCCUAACACAUGCAAGUCGAACGAACUCUUCGGAGUUAGUGGCGGACGGGUGAGUAACACGUGGGAACGUGCCUUUUGGUUCGGAAUAACUCAGGGAAACUUGUGCUAAUACCGAAUGUGCCCUUCGGGGGAAAGAUUUAUCGCCAUUAGAGCGGCCCGCGUCUGAUUAGCUAGUUGGUGAGGUAACGGCUCACCAAGGCGACGAUCAGUAGCUGGUCUGAGAGGAUGACCAGCCACACUGGGACUGAGACACGGCCCAGACUCCUACGGGAGGCAGCAGUGGGGAAUCUUGCGCAAUGGGCGAAAGCCUGACGCAGCCAUGCCGCGUGAAUGAUGAAGGUCUUAGGAUUGUAAAAUUCUUUCACCGGGGACGAUAAUGACGGUACCCGGAGAAGAAGCCCCGGCUAACUUCGUG
rnacentral:rRNA from 1 species